rnacentral:rRNA from 1 species
UCUUGGACAAUGGGGGCAACCCUGAUCCAGCAAUGCCGCGUGUGGGAUGAAGGCCUUCGGGUUGUAAACCACUUUUGGCGGGGGCGAAAUAUCGAGUGCUAAUACCAUUCGGUGAUGACGGUACCCGCAGAAUAAGCACCGGCUAACUACGUGCCAGCAGCCGCGGUAAUACGUAGGGUGCAAGCGUUAAUCGGAAUUACUGGGCGUAAAGCGUGCGCAGGCGGUUAGGUAAGACAGGUGUGAAAUUCCCGGGCUCAACCUGGGAACUGCAUUUGUGACUGCCUGACUAGAGUGCGGCAGAGGGGAGUGGAAUUCCGCGUGUAGCAGUGAAAUGCGUAGAUAUGCGGAGGAACACCGAUGGCGAAGGCAACUCCCUGGGCCUGCACUGACGCUCAUGCACGAAAGCGUGGGGAGCAAACAGGAUUAGAUACCCUGGUAGUCCACGCCCUAAACGAUGUCGACUAGUUGUUGGACGGGUUACUGUUCAGUAACGAAGCUAACGCGUGAAGUCGACCGCCUGGGGAGUACGGCCGCAAGGUUAAAACUCAAAUGAAUUGACGGGGA